CCAGUUACAAAAACAAAAAUUUUAUCUCGCCAGUUACAAAACAAAAACUUCAUCUCUAGAUCUGAAGUUCGCCAGUUACAAAAACAAAAACUUCAGCAAUUAGCAAAUAGAGGACAAAACUUCAGUUACUAUGCUUAACUUCAGCAAUUACAAUCAAAAACUUCAGCACACUUGGUUUUGCAUAAUUGUUACUUCAGGCCCGUCUACUAGAACAUUGAAGUUUUGCGUGAUUGCCUUUAUUACUUCAGCUCCAUAUGCUGAAAUGCGAAAAAGCGGGUAUGCUUGUAAUUAUUUUUUUGCAAAGCGGGUACAAAUUAAAACGUGACACAAAAAACGGGUAUAAAUGCAAAUACACCAAUAUAUACUUUAUAAUAACUCAGUCCACUAGUAAUAUUGUUACUUUCAGCCUAGGCCGGCGCUAAUUUAAAACGUGGAAUUCACUUAGGAUGUUACACAUUUGUAUUUUACUUUUAAUUUAUCCUCUUGAUUAUCAAAGGACAUAUCCCAUUGAAGCAAUUUUUGGAGUAAAAAGCCUAUGGUUUCUUCAAACUCAUAAUUGUAUCUUUCCCGUAAAGGAAACUGAAGCUAUUUGGUUGGUUGAUGAUUUAUGAAGCAAACACUCGCCGUGUUCUAUUUCAAAUAUGGUAGAACUUCAACACCUAAGGAUUUCCACUUCUUAAAGUUAGUGUAACAUUAAGUAAAGCAUCUUACCUUUUGGCGUCUACUUUGAUAAGUCGAUGUCCACCUAAUCCAGCAUCACUUUCAACAAAGAAAGGAAUUGUGACCAUUUCAACUCUCUAUAACAAUGCCUCAAUUUCAAAUAAAUUGGGGUCGCCAAUACUAGAUAGAACAAAUUGGAAAGGAGAAUUUUGGCAUAAUAAUAAAGUUACCGUCACACAAUCAGGACCAUAAAUUCAAUCUAUGAUCUGAUCCUUUUUGGGACUAUGCACAUAGCUACACUGCGAGGUCUGAGGAUAUUUGUUACAACACUUUUAGGAACUAUGUUUGCGUAAUGGCCACCCCACAUAAAUUGUAUAAGAUAGGAUUGUCUUGCUCCAACGAAACAAG
rnacentral:lncRNA from 1 species